rnacentral:rRNA from 1 species
UACGGAGGGUGCAAGCGUUAUCCGGAUUCACUGGGUUUAAAGGGUGCGUAGGCGGGUUGGUAAGUCAGUGGUGAAAUCUUCAAGCUUAACUUGGAAACUGCCGUUGAUACUAUCAAUCUUGAAUGUUGUGGAGGUAAGCGGAAUAUGUCAUGUAGCGGUGAAAUGCUUAGAUAUGACAUAGAACACCGAUAGCGAAGGCAGCUUGCUACACAAUAAUUGACGCUGAGGCACGGAAGCGUGGGGAUCAAACAGG